rnacentral:rRNA from 1 species
UACGAAGGUGGCAAGCGUUGUUCGGAUUCACUGGGCGUACAGGGUGUGUAGGCGGUUUGGUAAGCCUUCUGUUAAAGCUUCGGGCCCAACCCGGAAAGCGCAGAGGGUACUGCCAGGCCAGAGGACGGGAGAGGAGCGCGGAAUUCCCGGUGUAGCGGUGAAAUGCGUAGAGAUCGGGAGGAAGGCCGGUGGCGAAGGCGGCGCUCUGGAACGUUACUGACGCUGAGACACGAAAGCGUGGGGAGCAAACAGG